rnacentral:lncRNA from 1 species
CUUAUCUUCAUUAUCAAUACAGGCCCUGCAGCAUGCAGGACACAAAGCUGAAAGGUCACAGUGUGUUGCUGCUGUCACCAGGCCGCUCUUGUCUCAUCCAGCCCGUCUGUCUGUGACAUCUCUCUGAACAAUAAGCUACAGUCUUGCUGCAGAGGUGCAUCAAAACAUCAAACAGCCUCCAGACAAAGAUUACAGUUUGCAGCAAUUUUCUCCAAUUAACCCAAGGGAGGACUUCGUGGCAUGUUUAAGUUCAGGACGAAACCAAGUGGUGACAAAACACGGUCGUACGGGAGCAGGCUGGGCAGCGCGCGCGCGCGCGAGAGAGAUCUGCGGGAGAGACUGACAAUGAGUUCAAAACUGGAAAAAGGAAUCGUGAAACAAACUUGCAUUCGGAUUUUCAGGAACCAAUUGGCGAUGAUUGGAAAGUGGACCAGGCUUUUAAAGCGGGAGGCAGGUUUGGGUGAUUAGCUGGCGAUGAGUUCCAAGUGUGCAGAUCACAAGAUGGGAGAAAACCUGGAAGCAGCCCUGCCCAGCCUGGAAAUAAACAGACAAGAAAUAGAAGGGGAGGGGGAGAGGGAAAACACUCAGGAUGACUUCUAACAUCCACUUUAGAUUCAGGCAGACUAAAACUAAAUCAACUAGUUUAAAUUCAAACUCUCGGCUGAAAAUGUUUUAGACCUGUAGACUAUCUGCUCUUGAUAAGUUAUGUUCAUUCUUCUAGUGUCAUCCCUCAGGUUAAAUCCUCCCUGAGAACACAUGGAUAGAUGAGAUGAGCAGAUAUUGACCAUAUUUCUUAAUUGCUGGCUCCAGGCAAAUCACAUAGAAAAACAAGUUAGAUCAUAUUAGAUGCAAUCCAAUUAGAUUCCAAUAAGAUCAGUCACUUCUACCUGGAAUCUAAGAAGUCAGUGUGGAGCCCUUUGUGCAAUGCAGGAGAUAGAAACAGGAGACAAACAGAUGGAGCCUAAAGCGUGAGACAGGUCUGGUGCUAAUUUUGUUCUAACUAGAGAGGCUGCUUCACUGCUUUGGCAAGCUUCUCUCUGUCUGACUGGCUGCUCCAUUAAAACAAAACCAACAUGACCACC